rnacentral:tRNA from 1 species
GCCUGGGUGGUUCAGUCUGUUGAGCAUCUGACUUCAACUCAGGUCACAAUCUCUCAUGAUUCGUGGGUUCGAGCCCCACAUGGGGCU